ncrna:unclassified sequences L31-Firmicutes ribosomal protein leader
CUCUGUUACAGAAGUUUCAGGGCGCUAAGGAG